rnacentral:rRNA from 1 species
GACGAACGCUGGCGGCGUGCUUAACACAUGCAAGUCGAACGAUGAAGCCGGAGCUUGCUCCGGUGGAUUAGUGGCGAACGGGUGAGUAACACGUGAGCAAUCUGCCCUUGACUCUGGGAUAACUGCGGGAAACUGUAGCUAAUACCGGAUACGACACCUUGGGGCAUCCCAGGGUGUGGAAAGAAUUUCGGUCAAGGAUGAGCUCGCGGCCUAUCAGCUAGUUGGUGAGGUAAUGGCUCACCAAGGCGACGACGGGUAGCCGGCCUGAGAGGGGGACCGGCCACACGUGAACAGAGACACGGUCCAGACUCCUACGGGAGGCAGCAGUGGGGAAUAUUGCACAAUGGGCGAAAGCCUGAUGCAGCAACGCCGCGUGGGGGAUGAAGGCCUUCGGGUUGUAAACCUCUUUUAGCAGGGAAGAAGCGAAAGUGACGGUACCUGCAGAAAAAGCACCGGCUAACUACGUGCCAGCCGCCGCCGUAA